UUGUAAUGAAAUCGAAAUAUUGUUGCCUCAAAAGCGGCUAGGGAGGCAGCGAUUGUCUUUCUUUUGCUGUUUCUUGUGAUUUAGCCAUGUCUGAUCCUUUGUAGCGUCACUUUUUUAUUGAGAAGAAGAGAACAAAUCAGGAAUAUAUAUUUUGCAUUGGUGCUUUUUUCUAAUGAUGGAGUGGGAUCACUCGAAGAUUAUUCAGAAAAGGAAGUUUUGUGUCAAAUUGGCUGCACUCUGUCAUAUAUUACGUGUAAAAAGACAUACAGAUGGCCAAAAACUUUGUUUAUUGAUGUUUUGAUUUUCAUUCGUGCGGUAGGAUUUAGGUCAUGGCCCUUUUUCUCAUGUUUUUGAUCAUCAAAUGAAAAGAAAAUUAAUGGCGUGGCACAUGC